rnacentral:RNase_MRP_RNA from 1 species
AUGGAUUGAGACGAUGUGGAUGGGCCCGUGCUAAGUGCUGGGCUCAGGAAAGUCCCCGGGCCCAUACUGCAGAAACGCAGGCCUGGAAACAGGUAAUCUUUGAGCUGGGGCUGGUUCACACUUUCGGGUGUGUGGGCUGAGACAUGUGUGGAGCCUAUGCCAGUCCCGCCAAAGUAAAUUGGCCGACAAUAUACAGUCAUUCACAUGGUCCGUAACGGACUAACAGAACGGGGCUUACGUCUGUGAUCCA